AGCUGGUGCGAGUGCAGUGGUGCUUACAACUAAUUGAUCACAACCAGUUACAGAUUCCUUCGUUCUUUCUCCGCUCGCUGCUUCACUUGUCCAGCCUUAA
rnacentral:Y_RNA from 1 species